GUGCCAGCCGCCGCGGUAAUACGGAGGGGGCUAGCGUUGUUCGGAAUUACUGGGCGUAAAGCGCACGUAGGCGGACUGGAAAGUUGGGGGUGAAAUCCCGGGGCUCAACCUCGGAACUGCCUUCAAAACUAUCGGUCUGGAGUUCGAGAGAGGUGAGUGGAAUUCCGAGUGUAGAGGUGAAAUUCGUAGAUAUUCGGAGGAACACCAGUGGCGAAGGCGGCUCACUGGCUCGAUACUGACGCUGAGGUGCGAAAGCGUGGGGAGCAAACAGGAUUAGAAACCCGUGUAGUCC
rnacentral:rRNA from 1 species